GAAUUCCCUCAUAAUUAAGCAUUCAUUUUUUUACAGGGCUCUCCUAAGCACACAAGGAACACGCUUCAGAGCAGAGGACUAGACACACAGGGAGGCAUUUUAAUCCCUCAAAGGUUGACUCUGCUGCUCCCUUCCUGCCUCCUGCAUGUGACAACCUGUGGACUCCUGGACUUCUCCCCCUGCCUGAUGGCACCACCUACCCCUGCCCUCAGCAGGAUUUUGGCGUGGCUGAGCCCAGCUCUGAGGCAGGUGGUUUUUCCUUUAGAUCUCUCCCAGGAGAACUCGGCAUCCCUUUUCACCCUUACUGAAGCUUAAGGAGAGCUCUGUGGGUUCAGCCCAUCAAGAGAAAAAGCAAAUGGAAAAGAAAAGCCAUUCAGAAUAAAGAUGAGACAACCUUCCCA
rnacentral:lncRNA from 1 species